CGCUAUCACUCCUACGGGAGCAGCAGUGGGAAUCUUGGACAAUGGGCGCAAGCCUGAUCCAGCCAUGCCGCGUGAGUGAUGAAGGCCUUAGGGUCGUAAAGCUCUUUCGCCAGAGAUGAUAAUGACAGUAUCUGGUAAAGAAACCCCGGCUAACUCCGUGCCAGCAGCCGCGGUAAUACGGAGGGGUUAGCGUUGUUCGGAAUUACUGGGCGUAAAGCGCGCGUAGGCGGAUUAGUCAGUUAGAGGUGAAAUCCCGGGGCUCAACCCCGGAACUGCCUUUAAUACUGCUAGUCUUGAGUUCGAGAGAGGUGAGUGGAAUUCCGAGUGUAGAGGUGAAAUUCGUAGAUAUUCGGAGGAACACCAGUGGCGAAGGCGGCUCACUGGCUCGAUACUGACGCUGAGGUGCGAAAGUGUGGGGAGCAAACAGGAUUAGAUACCCUGGUAG
rnacentral:rRNA from 1 species